CCUUCCUUUGUUUGUUUCUUGAGGUAAUAUGAGAAUCCGGUUUUUGCGGUUUGGUUUUGAGCCGGUAGAGAGCAAACCAAGUAGAUAUUGGAAUUACAUUAAUUUAUUUAAUGAAACUGUGGAAGUUGACGGUCACGCGCCAUAUAUAUAAAGCUUCUGUUUAUAUAGUGUAUGGUCGCGGUUGUUCAAAGAAGAGACUAAACAUGAUGAACAAAAGGUUUGGGGGGAAGAUACCGACCGGAACUCCGUCACUAGCGUUGUCAACCGUCGUCGUUGUAGCCUCACUUCUCGGUGGAGCCUCCGUCGUCCACAAUUUAUACAAGCCAGAUCUCAGAUUACCUCAGAUGGAAGGUGAUGAAGCUGCAGACAAGAAGAAAGAAUCUGGAAACAAAGAUUAAAAAUCUUUUUCUGAUUAGUUACAUUUCUUAUUUAUGGUUUCCCAAUCUCCUCUCGGUUCGAGUGUUAUGAACUUAAGACACUGUGUUUGUAAUGAAUAAGUCAACUCGCUGGUCAAGUA